UCCCUCUCAGGGUCACAUCUGGGGAGUUUCCAAUACUCUACCAGUCUCGACUACUGGAGAAAGUGUCAAGCAGAGGCAUACCCAUUCCAUCCCUAGCUUGGGCAGUGGCUAGCAGGUGGAAGGCAAUCUGCUACAUGU